rnacentral:lncRNA from 1 species
UACUCGCACACACGCAUACACGUGCCCAGACCUACAGACACACUCACAUUUGCACAGUCACACGUGAAUAUAGUAUAUGCACACACACACUUAUGUGCGCAGACCCACAGACACACACAUUCACACUCUCACACAUGUGAAUAUAGUACAUGCACACACACACGCAUACACACUCGUGCCCAGACACACACACUCACACAUUCGCACACUCAGAGUGCCCCCCUCCCUCUCACAGGCCUUGUCCUGGGGACGAGUCAAGCCGUCAGGUACCUACACUCUGAGCUCCCGGAUCACUGGGCCGACACCGGAGGCUGCUGCUGUUUGUGGUCCGUCUUCCUGUGGAGUGUAUUCGACUGCGGGGGCGUCCACAAGGUGGGUGUGGGUGGGCCCGGAGACCUUUCUUCCGGGAGGCCAAGUUUCCAAAGCCAGUCCUUCACGUUCAAGGAUGCCCUCUCCCUGCAGGAUCCUGGACUUGUCAUGGGGUCUGGAUUAGGUUAUGCUAAUGGCAUCCACACUUGGCCUUUCCCCUCUUUCCUUAUAAAUCAGCCAACAAUGGGAGGCCGUGGGCUUCGCCAGAAGCCUCUGGAAACAGAGCUGCUCCUUUCCAGCAGGCCAGGCCGACCGGGGAGGCUGCGGCCCAUCGUGCGCUGGGGGAAGGUGAGCCAGGCUCCCAUCACGUGCCGGGAGCUGAUCUUGGCAGGUCGCGUCCUCCCGAAGCCUGCACUUCAGCCCCAGGGUUUUCCGACCGCCUCUGCUCCCAGAGGGGACCCGCAGGGACGAAGAGGCCGAACACAGCACCGAGACCUCAGUGUCGGGCGCGGGUGCUCCCAAAGCGCAGCGGGCCCACCUCCCCCGGCAGAGGAUCGUGCGGCGGUCAAAGUCGCACACGGGGCUUCUGAGACGUGCGGCCCGGGCCUAAGAGCUGCAUGUGUGCAAGCCGCUCCGUG